rfam:TPA: Bos taurus chromosome 7, whole genome shotgun sequence.
UCCCCGGUGGUCCAGUGGCUAAGACUUCGCCCUCCCAAUGCAGGGGGCCCAGGUUUGAUUCCUGGCCAGGGAA